GAAGCACUAAAGUGAUAUAUAGUGCUGUAGAAAAAGUACUAGAUCAGAAGAAAUGAAAACAUUUAUGUUUAAUAGUUUCCUUUUGGUGACCUUAACUCUGCUAAAUUUGUCUUUGAUAAAUUGCAACAGAGACUGUCAGCUAAAAUGGUCAACAUAUUCACUAUUUAAACAAUAACAUUUUUGCAGUAAUAAUCUUGAAUGUGUUUAAGACGUACUACUUUUGUGAAAUAUUAAGCUCUAUUCAGGACCCCAGAGACUAUAAUGACUCAUACUGGUUUCUGGUGUGAACAAUGGGCAUAGAUCCAGUAGCAUAAAAUUACAAUUAGCAUCAAUUCAUGAACUAUGCUCCAGUAAACUACGUAUCUCUGGUUCAUCUAUAUAGAACCUAUGAGAUUUCCAGGUGCUUUGUAUAAUAUCUCAUACUCUA
rnacentral:lncRNA from 1 species